ACGUGGCAAAAAAAGAUCUCUGGAAACGC
rnacentral:sRNA from 1 species